GUUUUAUUGUCUGUUGUGAGCCUGAUCCAAUAUUCCUUAAGUAGGCAAAGUUGAUUCUUUCACAGUUUUGCCUGCUCAAGGGGUAGAGGAAUAGGCUCUAGGCCUGUGAAGUGUUUA
rnacentral:precursor_RNA from 10 species